GAGCAACAGAGCGGGAGAGUAAUGGCGGAAGGUGAGGCAGCGACUGAAACACAAGGGAGCCGAGAGGCUGAGGCGUCCUGAAUUCUUCUGGCUGGCUUUGCCAAUAUGCUCCUGGUGAAUUCUAGGUCUCGCUUUGUCAAGAAAGAAUUCAGAGACGAAGUGAUAGGCGCUCCUGGUAAGGAACACGGAACUAAUAAGCCACCACCAACCAGAAGAGUUCGAGAAAGGUCAAAAAGAGACACCACAUAUCCGACCACCUCCCAGAAUCCUCGCUGGCAUCCAUCUUGGCUAAACAAGGUGUGCACCACCAGGAAGAACUCUGAGUCAGAAUGAUUGGCUAAAGACAAUCCCAUCACCAUAAAACCCGAGACUGCAGAGCAGUUCUCCUGGGUUCCCUUACCCUACUGGUCUCCACCAAGGCACCGUUUCCCGAUAAAAUCUCUUGCUGUGUUACCA